rnacentral:rRNA from 1 species
UCUGGGAAACUGCCUGAUGGAGGAGGAUAACCACUGGAAACGGUGGCUAAUACCGCAUAAUCUCGCGAGAGCAAAGUGGGGGACCUUAAUGGCCUCACGCCAUCGGAUGUGCCCAGAUGGGAUUAGCUUGUUGGUGGGGUAAAGGCUCACCAAGGCGACGAUCCCUAGCUGGUCUGAGAGGAUGACCAGCCACACUGGAACUGAGACACGGUCCAGACUCCUACGGGAGGCAGCAGUGGGGAAUAUUGCACAAUGGGCGCAAGCCUGAUGCAGCCAUGCCGCGUGUGUGAAGAAGGCCUUCGGGUUGUAAAGCACUUUCAGCGGGGAGGAAGGUGGUGUGGUUAAGAGCCAUAUCAAUUGACGUUACCCGCAGAAGAAGCACCGGCUAACUCCGUGCCAGCAGCCGCGGUAAUACGGAGGGUGCAAGCGUUAAUCGGAAUUACUGGGCGUAAAGCGCACGCAGGCGGUCUGACAAGUCAGAUGUGAAAUCCCCGGGCUUAACCUGGGAACUGCAUUUGAAACUGUCAGGCUGGAGUCUUGUAGAGGGGGGUAGAAUUCCAGGUGUAGCGGUGAAAUGCGUAGAGAUCUGGAGGAAUACCGGUGGCGAAGGCGGCCCCCUGACAAAGAC